rnacentral:rRNA from 1 species
GCCAAAGUCCAUACCAUGUUGAAUACACCGGUUCUCGUCCGAUCACCGAAGUUAAGCAACAUCAGGCGCGGUCAGUACUUGGAUGGGUGACCGCCUGGGAACACCGCGUGAUGGUGGCU